rnacentral:rRNA from 1 species
UGGGGGAUUUUGGACAAUGGGGGAAACCCUGAUCCAGCCAUCCCGCGUGUGCGAUGAAGGCCUUCGGGUUGUAAAGCACUUUUGGCAGGAAAGAAACGUCAUGGGUUAAUACCCCGUGAAACUGACGGUACCUGCAGAAUAAGCACCGGCUAACUACGUGCCAGCAGCCGCGGUAAUACGUAGGGUGCAAGCGUUAAUCGGAAUUACUGGGCGUAAAGCGUGCGCAGGCGGUUCGGAAAGAAAGGUGUGAAAUCCCAGAGCUCAACUUUGGAACUGCAUUUUUAACUACCGGGCUAGAGUGUGUCAGAGGGAGGUGGAAUUCCGCGUGUAGCAGUGAAAUGCGUAGAUAUGCGGAGGAACACCGAUGGCGAAGGCAGCCUCCUGGGAUAACACUGACGCUCAUGCACGAAAGCGUGGGGAGCAAACAGG